UUGUUGGUAAGGUAAAGGCUUACCAAGGCUUCGAUCAGUAGCUGGUCUGAGAGGACGACCAGCCACACUGGGACUGAGACACGGCCCAGACUCCUACGGGAGGCAGCAGUGGGGAAUUUUGGACAAUGGGGGCAACCCUGAUCCAGCCAUGCCGCGUGAGUGAAGAAGGCRUUCGUUGUAAAGCUCUUUCAGCCGGAACGAAACGGUUACGGAUAACACCCGUGACUACUGACGGUACCGGAAGAAGAAGCACCGGCUAACUACGUGCCAGCAGCCGCGGUAAUACGUAGGGUGCGAGCGUUAAUCGGAAUUACUGGGCGUAAAGCGUGCGCAGGUGGUUUUGUAAGUCAGAUGUGAAAGCCCCGGGCUCAACCUGGGAACUGCGUUUGAAACUACAAGACUAGAGUGUGGCAGAGGGGGGUGGAAUUCCGCGUGUAGCAGUGAAAUGCGUAGAGAUGUGGAGGAACACCGAUGGCGAAGGCAGCCCCCUGGGUCAACACUGACGCUCAGGCACGAAAGCAUGGGGAGCAAACAGGAUUAGAUACCCUGGUAGUCCAUGCCCUAAACGAUGUCAACUAGUUGUCGGGCCUUUACGGGCUUGGUAACGUAGCUAACGCGUGAAGUUGACCGCCUGGGGAGUACGAUCGCAAGAUUAAAACUCAAAUGAAUUGACGGGGACCCGCACAAGCGGUGGAUUAUGUGGAUUAAUUCGAUGCAACGCGAAAAACCUUACCUACCCUUGACAUGUAUCGAAGCCCGCAGAAAAGCGGGGGUGCCCGAAAGGGAACGAUAACACAGGUGCUGCAUGGCUGUCGUCAGCUCGUGUCGUGAGAUGUUGGGUUAAGUCCCGCAACGAGCGCAACCCUUGUCAUUAAUUGCCAUCAUUUAGUUGGGCACUUUAAUGAGACUGCCGG
rnacentral:rRNA from 1 species